rnacentral:lncRNA from 1 species
CCUUCUCAACAACUCAAAAUGGACCAUCAAUACGCAGCAUGAGCUUAGAUUUUCUUUGGUUUGGAAAUCGUUCCUUGCGAAGAUGUAUCCAAACAAGAUCACCUAGAGCAAAGCGAACUUGUUUUCUUCCUUUGUUGGCUGUCUUCUCAUAAGCCAUGUUCUUCCUCUCAAUCUGCUCCUUGAAGCUCUUAUGCAUGGACUUAACCAACUCAGCUUUCUUUCCAUCCAU